UGGAUCGUUGAGCAGGCGCCGGUCGCUUACCGACGCCUGUCAGUUUUAAACGAUUAAACAUAUUCCUUUUUAUUAUACACAAAAUUAUACUAACGGAGGGUUACCUACGUCAUCUACUUUGUAAAACUUAUUUGAGAGGUUCGGGUUACCAAAUCUCUGUAACAAAACCGUGCCGCGUGCAAUACAAGUCAUAUAUUGCCUUAUUUCUACAUAUUUAAACACUCCUGAGGGAGUGUUUAUUUUUCUUUAAUUUUAUAUGUAUUUUGUAUAUUGCAUUACAAAGCAGUAUAAUAUUGUUCGCUUGACUCAACCGAGGAAUCGUUGCUGAUUUCGAGCUGUUGGAGGCUCUGCUGUUUUAUGGAGGAGAAGGAUGCUUGUCCGGUGGCCUGCUGUUGCUGCUGGUGCUAUUUGCUGCUUCGCACUGUUUUUAUUUGCUAGCUCACUCAUUGUGACACUGCUUUCAGGGUUUGCACGAUCCUGCUUACUUAUUUAUUUAUAUCUAUCACUUAAUUUUAACCGAUGCCAACUCACUUAUAAUAUUUUAUUGUAUUAAUGUUAACUUAAUUGACCAGAUACUGUCAACGGCCCACCCCCUGAUUUUUAUGUUAUAAAUUUUAUAAUU